rnacentral:rRNA from 1 species
GACGAACGCUGGCGGCGUGCUUAACACAUGCAAGUCGAACGGAAAGGCCCUGCUUUUGUGGGGUGCUCGAGUGGCGAACGGGUGAGUAACACGUGAGUAACCUGCCCUUGACUUUGGGAUAACUUCAGGAAACUGGGGCUAAUACCGGAUAGGAGCUCCUGCUGCAUGGUGGGGGUUGGAAAGUUUCGGCGGUCGGGGAUGGACUCGCGGCUUAUCAGCUUGUUGGUGGGGUAGUGGCUUACCAAGGCUUUGACGGGUAGCCGGCCUGAGAGGGUGACCGGCCACAUUGGGACUGAGAUGCGGCCCAGACUCCUACGGGAGGCAGCAGUGGGGAAGAUUGCACAAUGGGCGGAAGCCUGAUGCAGCAACGCCGCGGGCUGGAUGACGACCUUCGGGUUGUAGACCGCUUUCGCCUGUGACGAAGCGUGAGUGACGGUAAUGGGUAGAGAAGCACCGGCUAACUACGUG